rnacentral:rRNA from 1 species
CCUACGGGGGGCAGCAGUGGGGAAUAUUGGGCAAUGGGCGCAAGCCUGACCCAGCAACGCCGCGUGAAGGAAGAAGGCUCUCUGGUUGUAAACUUCUUUUAUCAGGGACGAAGCAAGUGACGGUACCUGAUGAAUAAGCCACGGCUAACUACGUGCCAGCAGCCGCGGUAAUACGUAGGUGGCAAGCGUUAUCCGGAUUUACUGGGUGUAAAGGGCGUGUAGGCGGGAAAGCAAGUCAGAUGUGAAAACCAUGGGCUCAACCUGUGGCCUGCAUUUGAAACUGUUUUUCUUGAGUACUGGAGAGGCAGACGGAAUGCCUAGUGUAGCGGUGAAAUGCGUAGAUAUUAGGAGGAACACCAGUUGCGAAGGCAGUAUGCUGGACAGCAACUGACGCUGAGGCGCGAAAGCGUGGGGAGCAAACAGGAUUAGAUACCCGGGUAGUC